CUCAGUUCCUUUGUGAAGUUUUCCUUGGCUUCUAUUCCAGGGGAAAGUGGCCGCCCCUUCAUUGGUGCCUCUGAGCAACUGGUGCACGUGUGGAGGCUGUGGAGAUGAAUUUAACCAGGCUUGCAGUUUUACCAACUCAAUCCCCAGUCCUGAAAGACAAACAUACCAUACAGCCUAAGUGUGCAGUAGACUUCUAUUCAGGUUUGGACCUGAAUCACAGCUGGUGAUAAAGACAUACUUCUCUGAGAGGUUGCCCGUCCACUUUUCUGGCAUAAGUUGAAGCAGCACGAGGUUCUCACCAGAGCUGAAAAGACGCCAGCACUCUACUCUUCCCAGCCUCC